AGCUCCAAUAGCGUAUAUUAAAGUUGUUGCGGUAAAAGCUCGUAGUUGGAUUUCUGUUGAGGGCGACCGGUCCGCACCAUGUGCGCGCAUCUGGUUUGGCCUCGGCAUCCUUUCGAUAGACGUUUCUGCGCUUGAUUGCGUGGAGCGGAUUUCGAAACUUUUACUUUGAGGAAAUUAGAGUGUUCACGGCAGGCUAUCGCCAGAAUACAUUAGCAUGGAAUAAUACUAUAGGAUCUCGGUUCUAUUUUGUUGGUUUCUAGCGCCGAGAUAAUGAUUAAUAGGGACAACCGGGGGCAUUCGUAUCAACACGUCAGAGGUGGAAUUCUUGGAUUGUGUUGCGACGAACUACUGCGAAAGCAUCUGUCAUGUAUGUUUUCA
rnacentral:rRNA from 1 species